rnacentral:lncRNA from 1 species
GUCUUCUUUGAUCCUUGAAUUAUGUGGAGCUCAAAUAGACAACAAAGCUUUGUGGAACUGGUUAAGUGUUAGCAUAAAAUCUCUUUGCCUUUAUCAUGUUGAGCUUCCUCUAAUAAAUAUUACUCUCUUUGGUAGGAUCAUAAAUUUAUUUUUUUCAUUUCUAUAGGAUAGGAAUAUAUUUAUUUUAUUUUUACGCCACAACAGUAAAUGUACUUAUGGGUUUUAUGCCACGAGCAUACUCACAUGGGGCUUACUGUUUUUAACAUUUUUAUUUUCUUUUCAAGAUAGCAUGAUUAACUAAUAAGCUAUUUAAGGAAAGUAAGUAAUUAAAGGGAAAAGGGAAUGCAGAAAGGAUAAAUAUGGAUAACUACCGAUUUUAUCUUUCGGUGAGGAUUCAAUGUUUUAAGUCAUCUGAACAAGACUUCUCACCGUGUUUAUUCUUCAGGUGCGUCAUUUGAUUCAGGUGUGGACCUUGACGUCUGCACCUCUUAAUACGGUGUCACCCAUAUUCUUCGUUUACCUAGUAGUUCGAAGUGCGGUGUUGGCAGUAUUUUGCUCAGUCUGUU